AUGUCGAUGUUCCCAGGGAUGGAUCUUACUAAAAUGGAUGCUCCAACGCUUACCCUCCUUGGAGCAGCUUGUUGUGUUAUGUUAUCUAUGCAUUUCACAGUACAGUUGGUAUCACAACAUCUUUUCUACUGGAAAAAUGCCAAAGAGCAGAAGGCCAUACUCAUUAUUGUGCUAAUGCCUCCACUGUAUGCCAUAACUUCCUUUGUUGGUCUUCUGGAUAUUAAGGGAAGCAAAGCGUUUUUUACAUGCUUGGAGUCUGUUAAAGAAUGCUAUGAGGCACUGGUUAUUGCUAAAUUUCUGGCAUUGAUGUACAGCUACUUAAAUAUAUCUAUUAGCAAAAACAUUGUACCUGAUGAAAUCAAAGGGAGGGUGCUUCAUCAUUCUUUCCCUGUCUCUCUUUUCCUGCCCCGCAAUGUUCGGUUGGAGCACAAGACAUUAAAGCUUCUGAAGUACUGGACCUGGCAAUUUGUUGUUGUCAGGCCUGUGUGCUCCAUUCUGAUUAUUACACUUCAGCUUCUUGGGCUGUACCCCAGCUGGGUCAGCUGGACGUUCACAAUUAUACUGAACUUUUCAGUCUCCAUGGCAUUAUAUGCCUUGGUCAUAUUCUAUCACUUGUUUGCUAAGGAGUUGGCACCUCACAAGCCUCUUGCUAAGUUUUUGUGCAUCAAAGGGAUUGUCUUCUUCUCUUUCUGGCAGGGCUGUGCACUGGAUAUUUUGGCUGCUGUAGGGGUGAUUCAGUCUCACCAUUUCUGGCUGGACGUGGAGCACAUCCAGGAGGCAAUCCAGAAUAUCUUGAUUAUCCUGGAAAUGGUCGUCUUCUCAGUCCUCCAGCAAUAUGCAUACCACGUCGCUCCGUACAGCGGCGCUGACAAGGCGAAAUUCGAGAAGAAAAAUGAAUGA
rnacentral:rRNA from 1 species